rnacentral:rRNA from 1 species
CCAGACUCCUACGGGAGGCAGCAGUGGGGAAUAUUGGGCAAUGGAGGCAACUCUGACCCAGCAACGCCGCGUGAAGGAAGAAGGCCUUAGGGUUGUAAACUUAUGUUGUAAAGGAAGAAAAGAAUGACGGCACUUUACAAGAAAGCCCCGGCUAACUAUGUGCCAGCAGCCGCGGUAAGACAUAGGGGGCAAGCGUUGUUCGGAAUUACUGGGCGUAAAGGGAGCGUAGGCGGGAGAUUAAGUUAAGAGUGAAAGCCUUGGGCUCAACCCAAGAAAUGCUCUUAAUACUGGUUUUCUAGAGUGUGGGAGAGGUAAGUGGAAUUCCUAGUGUAGCGGUAGAAUGCGUAGAGAUUAGGAGGAACAUCAGAGGCGAAGGCGGCUUACUGGACCAUAGCUGACGCUGAGGCUCGAAAGCGUGGGGAGCAAACAGGAUUAGAUACCCGCGUAGA